rnacentral:lncRNA from 10 species
UAACAUGAGAUGAAAACUGGAGAAGCAUCCCUAAAAUAUAUGAACCAAUCUGCCUAGAAAUAGCUAGGAAUCUGGGUUUAGUGUAAUACUGUAAACCUUGAAUCGUACUAUGCGACCUACAUGAAGUGUCACCAGUGAUGCUGGAAGUGCUCCCAAAAAUCGGAGAAAAGUCAGAAAAGAAAAAGUUGAAUUGCUUGAUGUGUAUUGUAGGUUUAGAUCUGCAAUUGCAGUUGCUUGCCAUGUCAAGAUAAAUGAAUCUAGCCUAAGGGCCAUUGUAAAAAAUAAAAGGAGCCUUGUGAAGCUGUCCCUGUAGCUAUGCCAGUAGGUGCAAAAUGCUUGUACUUUUUGUGAAAUAUCUUUUUAUCUUGUAUUGAAAAUGCAGUUUUUAUGUGAGUGCAGAAUUGCUGUAAGAAAAGCAUCUCUAGACUAAUAUGAUUUGAGAAAAAGUGAAGUCAUUAUAUGACAACUUAAAGCAAAAGGAAGGUGAAGAAUCUAAAGCUGGAUAAUCUAAUGCCAGCAAAGGAUGGUUUGAUCAUUUGGCUUAAAACAUGCACCAGAAAGAUGAAUAAAAUAAAAGAUUGAAGAAGUAGCAAGUAGCAGUAUGGAAGACUUGUGGCUAAGGAGACACUUCGCACUGUUAUGCACCAGGAGGAUUGACUGUCUCUGUGGCUUGGAGGCAGUUAUACGUAGCAGCAGCAGCAGCAGCAGCAGCAAAAGUUAACAGGAGCCGGAGUCUGUCUUCAAAGAGCAGUCAGUAGAGAUGAAGAGUAGAUUACUGAUUCCAUAGUACAUGUCAGAUACUGCCUAGGGACUUCCUAAGUAGAGGUCAAGGUCCCACUGUUAUACAGGUAGGGGUUAAUGAGCUAGCAAAUUAGGAUAUUAAUAUUAAUGGAGCAUCUUUAGUACCCACAGGCUAAUGAAGUCUGGGGUCAUUUGGGUUAUAUUAACAUGAAACAAAGUGGAAUUUUAGGCCAAACGCAUUUACCAGAAUAAAGAGAGCAAUUUUCCUGAUUAAAG